GAUGAACGCUGGCGGCGUGCCUAAUACAUGCCAGUCGAGCGAACGGACGAGAAGCUUGCUUCUCUGAUGUUAGCGGCGGACGGGUGAGUAACACGUGGAUAACCUACCUAUAAGACUGGGAUAACUUCGGGAAACCGUAGCUAAUACCGGAUAAUAUUUUGAACCGCAUGGUUCAAAAGUGAAAGACGGUCUUGCUGUCACUUAUAGAUGGAUCCGCGCUGCAUUAGCUAGUUGGUAAGGUAACGGCUUACCAAAGCAACGAUGCAUAGCCGACCUGAGAGGGUGAUCGGCCACACUGGAACUGAGACACGGUCCAGACUCCUACGGGAGGCAGCAGUAGGGAAUCUUCCGCAAUGGGCGAAAGCCUGACGGAGCAACGCCGCGUGAGUGAUGAAGGUCUUCGGAUCGUAAAACUCUGUUAUUAGGGAAGAACAUAUGUGUAAGUAACUGUGCACAUCUUGACGGUACCUAAUCAGAAAGCCACGGCUAACUACGUG
rnacentral:rRNA from 1 species